CCUACGGGAGGCAGCAGUGGGGAAUCUUGCGCAAUGGGCGAAAGCCUGACGCAGCCAUGCCGCGUGAAUGAUGAAGGUCUUAGGAUUGUAAAAUUCUUUCAGUAGGGACGAUAAUGACGGUACCUACAGAAGAAGCCCCGGCUAACUUCGUGCCAGCAGCCGCGGUAAUACGAAGGGGGCUAGCGUUGCUCGGAAUUACUGGGCGUAAAGGGAGCGUAGGCGGACAUUUAAGUCAGGGGUGAAAUCCCAGAGCUCAACUCUGGAACUGCCUUUGAUACUGGGUGUCUUGAGUGUGAUAGAGGUAUGUGGAACUCCGAGUGUAGAGGUGAAAUUCGUAGAUAUUCGGAAGAACACCAGUGGCGAAGGCGACAUACUGGAUCAUUACUGACGCUGAGGCUCGAAAGCGUGGGGAGCAAACAGGAUUAGAUACCCUGGUAGUCCACGCCGUAAACGAUGAUUGUCUAGUUGUCGGUAGUAGUUACUAUCUCGUGACGCAGACUAACGACAUAAGUACGAACUACCGCCGUCGGGGAGGUACGGUCGGCGAAGUAAGUUAAACUAACGUUAAAGAAAGUUAGUUACGGCGUGAGAGNGCGACGGACGACGACGAGGGAGGAGG
rnacentral:rRNA from 1 species